rnacentral:lncRNA from 1 species
GAUUGGAGAGGCGGACCAUGAAGAGACAAGUAACUUCUCAGAGAAAGGCACCCGCUUGCUGGUCUGAUGGAUGGUGCCUCCUAACUAAGGCAUAUGAUGAAAUUCUGGCCAACGGAUGUGAGGGGAAGUGAUGUGGACAACUUCCAGGCUAUGACCUCAAGGGAAGAGGCGUUCCCUUCACCCCGCAAUGCUUUCCACCUCUUCUUGCUGGCCAGAGAUGGACAGAGCUGUGCACCGUCUGGAACUAAGCGAUGAAGACAACACCAUAGGGGCUGCGGAGCAAUAGGAUAAAAGGAAGCUUUGUCCCCAAGAAUGACUUCAGGUGGCAGUUCCCUACUUUCAGCCCAGACAAGUGCACAUAUGGAAACUGAGGCUGGGGAGAUUAAUAAAUGGCACAUAGUCACAGAGCAAGUGUUACACUCAGGCCCUGGUUACACACAACCCUUCAGAACCAUGAGCACAAAACUUAGUGCAGAAGACUCUACCCUCGGAUGUUAAAUAUCCUGGCUUAAAACUACAUGGCUAUUAAGGUACUGCCUGGUAGUUUUUGGUUUUGUUCCAUACAUCUCUUUAUCAACUUAGUUACUAGCCACAUCACAGAAACCAUAAAAGCAGAAUGUUUCCAACAUGUUUCUGUGACUCGACAUUUCUAGUAGUUUGAUUCCAGGCAAAUAAGAAUUUAUUGUAAUUUGAACAGUAAAUGGUCAUUUUCAACCCCAACUCGACUGAACAGAUACAUAGCUCACUCAUUUUGUUACUUAUUGCCUGCCAAACUAACAACACACAGUUUCACUAAACCUUGUAUUUUGUAGGAAAAUUAUAUUUCAUUUGAAAAUACAUGUGUUGAAAUUUUUUAGUUAAACCUUAAUGAAGUUCAUUUUAAAACACAAAGUGUCUGAUUGAAGAUUGUAUGCAUAGUAUACUUCUUACACCCUUUUCUGUUGAGGUAUAACUGACAUAUAACAUUAUACUAGUUUCAGGCAGACAGUGUAGUGAUUGAAUAUUUAU